UGGGGAAUAUUGCACAAUGGGCGCAAGCCUGAUGCAGCCAUGCCGCGUGUAUGAAGAAGGCCUUCGGGUUGUAAAGUACUUUCAGCGGGGAGGAAGGUGUUGUGGUUAAUAACCACAGCAAUUGACGUUACCCGCAGAAGAAGCACCGGCUAACUCCGUGCCAGCAGCCGCGGUAAUACGGAGGGUGCAAGCGUUAAUCGGAAUUACUGGGCGUAAAGCGCACGCAGGCGGUCUGUCAAGUCGGAUGUGAAAUCCCCGGGCUCAACCUGGGAACUGCAUCCGAAACUGGCAGGCUUGAGUCGUGUAGAGGGGGGUAGAAUUCCAGGUGUAGCGGUGAAAUGCGUAGAGAUCUGGAGGAAUACCGGUGGCGAAGGCGGCCCAAUGGACAAAGACUGACGCUCAGGUGCGAAAGCGUGGGGAGCAAACA
rnacentral:rRNA from 1 species